UGACGUUGAUUAUGCUAUAGCUGCCUAAGAGCAGUGACAAGCACAGUCGUCCUAGCUGGUAACGGCUAGCGAUUAUUAUCGGGUGAAUUGCUGGAAACCCCUUAGAGCUUUUCUUACCACAACGUAGUUGGAAACAACAAGCGUGAUGGUUUGAAAAAAGAAAAGAUAUGGGCAAUCAGCAGCCAAGCUCCUGUCUCGAAAGAGUGGAGAAGGUUCAACGACUAGGAUAAACCAUCUAAGGCGAAAGCUAUGAUGAUGAAAUCCAUAGGUGAAACAAUGGUCAUCAGCAUUGUGAAUCCGAAGUGCCCGACCCCUACUAGAUUGCUAGAGGGUGAAGAUAUAGUCUAGUCAUUUAUGAAAAUAAAUG
rfam:Bacillus sp. FJAT-18017 genome.